rnacentral:rRNA from 1 species
CUACGGGUUGCACCAGUGAGGAAUAUUGCACAAUGGGGGGAACCCUGAUGCAGCAACGCCGCGUGGAGGAUGACGCAUUUCGGUGUGUAAACUCCUUUUAUAUGUCAAGAAAAUGACGGUAGCAUAUGAAUAAGCACCGGCUAACUCCGUGCCAGCAGCCGCGGUAAUACGGAGGGUGCAAGCGUUACUCGGAAUCACUGGGCGUAAAGGACGCGUAGGCGGGUUGGAAAGUCAGGUGUGAAAUCCUACAGCUUAACUGUAGAACUGCACUUGAAACUUCUAAUCUAGAGUAUGGGAGGGGAGAUGGAAUUAGUGGCGUAGGGGUAACAUCCGUAGAUAUCACUAGGAAUACCUAAAGCGAAGGCGAUCUCCUGGAACAUUACUGACGCUAAGGCGUGAAAGCGUGGGGAGCAAGCAGGAUUAGAUACCCGCGUAGUC